AGACAGACAUCCACACAUCCAGACAUCCAGACGUCCACAAACAGACGUCCACACAUCCACAGACAUCCACAUCCACACAUCCACAAACAGACAUCCACACAUCCACAGACAUCCACACAUCCACAAACAGACAUCCACACAUCCACAAACAGACAUCCACACAUCCACAGACAUCCACAAACAGACAUCCACACAUCCACAAACAGACAUCCACACAUCCACAAACAGACAUCCACACAUACACAGACAUCCACACAUACACAGACAUCCACACAUCCACAGACAUCCACACAUCCACAAACAGACAUCCACA